rnacentral:snoRNA from 1 species
AACUGAGUAAUAAAGUUGUUUCUUAAUUAUACCUGUCUGCCAUGUCUGUGUAGCAGCCAGGGAUGCUUGGUCUCAUACAU